AUUGAACGCUGGCGGCAGGCCUAACACAUGCAAGUCGAACGGUAACAGGAAGCAGCUUGCUGCUUUGCUGACGAGUGGCGGACGGGUGAGUAAUGUCUGGGAAACUGCCUGAUGGAGGGGGAUAACUACUGGAAACGGUAGCUAAUACCGCAUAACGUCGCAAGACCAAAGAGGGGGACCUUAGGGCCUCUUGCCAUCGGAUGUGCCCAGAUGGGAUUAGCUAGUAGGUGGGGUAACGGCUCACCUAGGCGACGAUCCCUAGCUGGUCUGAGAGGAUGACCAGCCACACUGGAACUGAGACACGGUCCAGACUCCUACGGGAGGCAGCAGUGGGGAAUAUUGCACAAUGGGCGCAAGCCCGAUGCAGCCAUGCCGCGUGUAUGAAGAAGGCCUUCGGGUUGUAAAAUACUUUCAGCGGGGAGGAAGGGAGUAAAGUUAAUACCUUUGCUCAUUGACGUUACCCGCAGAAGAAGCACCGGCUAACUCCGUG
rnacentral:rRNA from 1 species